ensembl:lncRNA
UGGCUUCACUUAUUCAGACCCGGAGAUCGGAACAGACACAAAUGGAAUGCAAUUGUUUUUAAUGUUUUUCCUGCUGAGACAUGCCAAAUAUCUGCUGUGAAAAAGGUCUAUAGGGCAAACAACAGUAUUCAUUAACCAAUGCUUUGCAACAGGAAACUAAAGUAAAGUAAAAAAAUAAAAUAAAAUAAAUAAAAAUGUGCAUGUGUGGAGUCCUAACCACUGAAAUGUCAUCGACAAAGUCAAGUAACAGCUUCUCCUGUUUGCAGAGGCAGAGUGUCUGCAGAGAGCAGUGGAAGGGAAAGCUGCCUCUGAUGAAGAGGAGGAGGACAGAGGGAUGAGGGAGGAAGGACAGUGCUGCCUGUUGGAGGUGAAGAAACACCGACUGCACGGCUGUGGAAACGGAUGUCAGAACCAUGUGAGUCACCUGCAUGAUAAAAACCUCAUCAGCACUUUAAAGGACAGCAGGGGGCGCUGCAGCCGGAAGGGACAACACCAAGAGCAGUCAGAGGGAAGCAGAGGCUUUGAAAAAGAAAAGAGGCCGAAAGAAGAGGAGGACAAGACAAGGCCGGAGGAGAAAGAAAACACACGUCUGUCUUUGCUUGAGGACAAACUCACAGAUGCCCUCACACUGCUGCUGCGGCUACGCAACAAGAACAUGACCCGCAGGGCCCUGGGGAAGAUAGUGAUGGAUACUCUGGAUGUGUGCAGGAGUGGAGAUGGUAGGUGUGUUCUAAAUAUUCCAGUUGUAUUCCAACUUCAAAUAAGAAUUCAUAUUUUAGAGUUGCUCUUUGCUGAAAUUGUCCUUGGUACCUUUCAAUUUCCCCAUCCAGGUCCAUCUCAGGUGUUGCAGUUAGCUGACGCCCUCUGUGUCCGGCUGUCUUCCAGGGAUCUCCUUGGAAACGGAGAGGAUGAUGAAGGAGGAGAGAGCAGAGAGAAAGCCCAGGAUCCAUCUUCAGGAUGUCAAACCAGCAGCAUCAACCCUCUGCUCAUCUCCUGUUAGAUAAAGGUUCUACAUGUAACUUUCAGAAUAAAGCUUGUUGCUUGUUAUUAAUGACACCGGUGGCCGUUAAGUGAACUGCAGUCAGCAUCCUGCUGCACGCGCUCACACUCCGAGUCCGUAGGCAUCCUGGGCAUGGACCAAAAUAAUGACGUGACACACACGAGACUGAGCGUGAUUAACCGGCAUCAUGUUGAUAGAUUGCUGGAGAAAAAAAUAAUAAUAUUUAGUAUACAAUUACUAUCUGUAAUGUUCCAAUAUUGUAUUUGGACAAUGUGGCUCCAGCACACACUUCAUGAGUCCACGCAUAUGUUGUGGUUUUAGCUGGCUAAUGUUAGCUAACACUAGUUUACUUCCUAACGUGGACGAAUUGCUAGCUAGCUAAUGUAGCAAAAUACUGUCUUGAGUGCGCUGAUUCAUCCAGACUCCCGGGGCUGAUCUGGCUGGUAAAUUGGCUCGCUUGCCGCUUGCAAAUUACUUUAUCAGCUAACGUUACGAAGCAACCAACGGCAGAUUUAUGUCGCGUAGCUAGGUUACAGCCAGCUGGCUGUUGCACAGAAUGCACACUGUUGGCAAGGCAACCGGGAGCGAGCAUUACGUCACAUGCUUUGGAUUGUCCCAGAUAAACGUCCCAAGUCCUUUACAUAGAUAUCACAGGCUGUUAUAGGCAACCAGUAAAGACGGGACAUGUCUCAGUUAUAAAGCGACGUUACAAUCUACUCAUUGGCAAAACAAAGCAAUUACAUCAUGCUAAAGGUUACAUAUAGAACCUUUAACUGAGCUACUACUGUAGUAUUUAUCCUUUUCCUCUUUUAUCUCUGGCUUGUUUGCACACAUGUACUUUUCCCAGUUGUGGAACUGGUUCAACGUAUUUAAAGAUACAUUUUAUUUACUCUCUUUGUGUUCUAUUUUGUAUCUA